rnacentral:ncRNA from 2 species
GGGAAAGCCGGUGCGAAUCCGGCGCUGACCCCGCAGCCGUGAGACCGGCGCCGCCAUCGGCCGCCCGGACGAGUCGGAGCACCC